rnacentral:rRNA from 1 species
AGAGUUUGAUCCUGGCUCAGAUUGAACGCUGGCGGCAGGCUUAACACAUGCAAGUCGAGCGGUUUAGUUAGCUUGCUAACUAGAUAGCGGCGAACGGGUGAGUAAUGCCUAGGAAUCUGCCUGAUAGUGGGGGAUAACGUUCGGAAACGAACGCUAAUACCGCAUACGUCCUACGGGAGAAAGGGGGCUUUAUUGCUCUCGCUAACAGAUGAGCCUAGGUCAGAUUAGCUAGUUGGUAGGGUAAAGGCCUACCAAGGCGACGAUCUGUAGCGGGUCUGAGAGGAUGAUCCGCCACACUGGAACUGAGACACGGUCCAGACUCCUACGGGAGGCAGC